UACGGGGGGAGCAAGCGUUGUUCGGAUUUACUGGGCGUAAAGGGCGCGUAGGCGGCCUCCGCAAGUCAGUUGUGAAAUCUCCGAGCUUAACUCGGAAAGGUCAACUGAUACUGCGGGGCUAGAGUGCGGAAGGGGCAACCGGAAUUCUUGGUGUAGCGGUGAAAUGCGUAGAUAUCAAGAGGAACACCUGCGGCGAAGGCGGGUUGCUGGGCCGACACUGACGCUGAGGCGCGAAAGCUAGGGGAGCGAACGGG
rnacentral:rRNA from 1 species